UGCUGUCAGCUCGUCCUGUUCUGCUCACCUGAGCCUCUUCCUCUGGUCUGCUUCUGUUUCUGUGAUUGCCACCACCUGACAAGACUUGUGUUAAAUGUCCAGAACAUUUCCAGAUGGACCUGAUCGUCUUCUAGAUGGAGUUAAAAUCCGGUCGUUUCCAAACUGCAGGAGCUGGAUCGAAGCAGUUGAACUCGUCAUGACCUCUGACCUUUGACCCACUUACACCAUGAGCUGAAGGCUGAUGUUUGCACCGACAGCAACAAAACUGAGCACUCACACACAAACUGACUGUGCUUCCCAUCAGACGUGUUCUGGGUGUUUGAGUGUCUCAGUCCAACACAAGCCGGAUCCAUCUCAGUCCAGAACAUUAUUCCAUGAUUAAAUGACGUCGGUCCCGAACACUGUUUCAUGCUUUUAAAUCUCUAAAAACUGUUUCACUGCGAACACGAUCAGACUGCAGCUGAAAGUGACCCAAGAUGGCUGCCGAACUCUGACCUACUGAUUGACAGCUGCUUCUAUGCCCGCCCCGUGGCCUGCAACAGCCAACGAGUGAUCAGGAAGAUUAUUUUUACCUGAGACUCCAGAUGAUUGACGCAUCAUGUAACCAAUGAGAUUUCACAUCCAGUAAUAUAUAGUUUAUAUCAGUUUUUAAAGGCCAACACUUUGAAAUUAUUAAUUAAUUUGUAGUUUUAUGCAUUUUGCUCUUUGAAUAUGUUGUUUUUAAUUAUUUUAUGUGUUCAAAGUUUGUAUAAAUAAGGAAAUAAAGGCCUUAUAA